rnacentral:rRNA from 1 species
UAGGGAAUCUUCGGCGAUGGGGGGAACCCUGACCGAGCAACGCCGCGUGAGUGAAGAAGGUUUUCGGAUCGUAAAGCUCUGUUGUUAAGGAAGAACGAGUGUGAGAAUGGAAAGUUCAUGCUGUGACGGUACUUAACCAGAAAGGGACGGCUAACUACGUGCCAGCAGCCGCGGUAAUACGUAAGGGGCGAGCGUUGUCCGGAAUUAUUGGGCGUAAAGAGUGCGUAGGCGGCAAAUUAAGUCAGAUGUGAAAACUAAGGGCUCAACCCAUAGAUUGCAUCUGAAACUGAUAUGCUUGAGUCAAGGAGAGGAAAGUGGAAUUCUUAGUGUAGCGGUGGAAUGCGUAGAUAUUAGGAGGAAUACCGGUGGCGAAGGCGACUUUCUGGACUUGAACUGACGCUGAGGCACGAAAGCGUGGGGAGCAAACAGG